AACUAUAACGGUCCUAAGGUAGCGAAAUUCCUUGUCAGGUAAGUUCUGACCCGCAUGAAAGGCGUAAUGAUUUGGGCACUGUCUCAACAGCCCGCCCGGCGAAAUUGUAGUACCGGUGAAGAUGCCGGUUACCCGCGACAAGACGGAAAGACCCCAUGGAGCUUUACUGUAGCCUAAUAUUGGGUUUCGAUGUUGCAUGCACAGGAUAGAUGGGACACUGGGAAGCAGGUGCUUUGGCGCUUGUGGAGUGGCCGUUGGGAUACCAUCCUUGCGAUAUUGGAAUUCUAACCUGCGCCUUUGAAUCAAGGCGGGGGACAUUGUUAGGUGGGCAGUUUGACUGGGGCGGUCGCCUCCUAAAGAGUAACGGAGGCGUUCAAAGGUUCGCUCAGCUUGAACGGAAAUCAAGCAAAAGAGUGCAAACGCAGAAGCGAGCCUAACUGCGAGACUGACGGGUCGAGCAGUAACGAAAGUUGGAGUUAGUGAUCCGGUGGUAUGUGAGUGGAAAUGCCAUCGCUCAACGGAUAAAAGUUACCCUGGGGAUAACAGGCUGAUCUCCCCCAAGAGUCCACAUCGACGGGGAGGUUUGGCACCUCGAUGUCGGCUCAUCGCAUCCUGGGGCUGUAUUCGGUCCCAAGGGUUUGGCUGUUCGCCAAUUAAAGCGGUACGCGAGCUGGGUUCAGAACGUCGUGAGACAGUUCGGUCCCUAUCUGUCGUGGGCGCAGGAUAUUUGAUGGGAGCUGUUCCUAGUACGAGAGGACCGGAGCGGACGUACCUCUGGCGCACCAGUUGUUCUGCCAAGAGCAUAGCUGGGCAACUAUGUACGGAUCGGAUAAACGCUGAAAGCAUCUAAGCGUGAAGCCGACCCAAAGAUAAGAUAUCCCAUUGUUUCAAACAAGUAAGACCCCUUGAAGACUACAAGGUUGAUAGGCACGAUGUGUAAGUGGAGUGAUCCAUUCAGCAAGCGUGUACUAAUAGGUCGAGGGCUUGACCAC
rnacentral:rRNA from 1 species